GAUGAACGCUAGCGGCAGGCUUAACACAUGCAAGUCGAGGGGCAGCGCGGGUAGCAAUACCUGGCGGCGACCGGCAAACGGGUGCGGAACACGUACAGAAUCUACCUUUAUCUGGGGCAUAGCCCGAAGAAAUUCGGAUUAAUACCCCAUAAUAUAUAUGAGUGGCAUCACUUGAAUAUUAAAACUCCGGUGGAUAAAGAUGACUGUGCGUCCCAUUAGCUAGUUGGUAGGGUAACGGCCUACCAAGGCGACGAUGGGUAGCUGGUGUGAGAGCACGACCAGCCACACGGGCACUGAGACACGGGCCCGACUCCUACGGGAGGCAGCAGUGAGGAAUAUUGGUCAAUGGACGCAAGUCUGAACCAGCCAUGCCGCGUGAAGGAUGAAGGCGUUCUGCGUUGUAAACUUCUUUUAUCUGGGAAGAAACCUACGAUUUCUAUUGUAGCCGACGGUACCAGAGGAAUAAGCACCGGCUAACUCCGUGCCAGCAGCCGCGGUAAGAC
rnacentral:rRNA from 1 species